rnacentral:rRNA from 1 species
GUUUUAACGCUGGCCGGCGUGCCUAACACAUGCAAGUCGAACGGACGAAGGGAGCUUGCUCCCCUAGUUAGUGGCGAACGGGUGAGUAACGCGUGAGCAACCUGCCUUUCAGAGGGGGACAACGGUCGGAAACGACCGCUAAUACCGCAUGAAGCAAUCGGACCGCAUGAUCUGAUUGUUAAAGAUUUAUCGCUGAAAGAUGGGCUCGCGUCUGAUUAGAUAGUUGGCGGGGUAACGGCCCACCAAGUCGACGAUCAGUAGCCGGACUGAGAGGUUGAACGGCCACAUUGGGACUGAGAUACGGCCCAGACUCCUACGGGAGGCAGCAGUGGGGAAUAUUGGGCAAUGGGGGAAACCCUGACCCAGCAACGCCGCGUGAAGGAAGAAGGCUUUCGGGUUGUAAACUUCUUUUACCGAGGACGAAGAACGUGACGGUACUCGGAGAAAAAGCCACGGCUAACUACGUGCCAGCAGCCGCGGUAAUACGUAGGUGGCAAGCGUUGUCCGGAAUUACUGGGUGUAAAGGGCGUGUAGGCGGAGCAGCAAGUCAGAAGUGAAAUCUCCGGGCUUAACCCGGAAACUGCUUUUGAAACUGUUGCCCUUGAGUAUCGGAGAGGCAGGCGGAAUUCCUAGUGUAGCGGUGAAAUGCGUAGAUAUUAGGAGGAACACCAGUGGCGAAGGCGGCCUGCUGGACGACAACUGACGCUGANGCGCGAAAGCGUGGGGAGCAACAGAUUAGAUACCCUGUAGUCACGCGUAACGAUGAUACUAGUGUGGGGGGACUGACCCCUCGUGCGANUUACCCAUNAGUNUCCCCCUGGGAGUCCAUCNCAGAUGAACUNAAGGAUUGCGGGGCCCCC